GACGUAGGGCGCGAGCGUUGUCCGGAUUUAUUGGGCGUAAAGCGCGUGUAGGCGGCUUUGCAAGUCGGGUGUGAAAGCCCUCAGCUCAACUGAGGAAGUGCGCCCGAAACUGCAGAGCUUGAGUGCCGGAGAGGGUGGCGGAAUUCCCCAAGUAGAGGUGAAAUUCGUAGAUAUGGGGAGGAACACCGGUGGCGAAGGCGGCCACCUGGACGGUAACUGACGCUGAGACGCGAAAGCGUGGGUAGCAAACAGG
rnacentral:rRNA from 1 species